UGGCUCAGGACGAACGCUGGCGGCGUGCCUAAUACAUGCAAGUCGAACGAACUCUGGUAUUGAUUGGUGCUUGCAUCAUGAUUUACAUUUGAGUGAGUGGCGAACUGGUGAGUAACACGUGGGAAACCUGCCCAGAAGCGGGGGAUAACACCUGGAAACAGAUGCUAAUACCGCAUAACAACUUGGACCGCAUGGUCCGAGUUUGAAAGAUGGCUUCGGCUAUCACUUUUGGAUGGUCCCGCGGCGUAUUAGCUAGAUGGUGGGGUAACGGCUCACCAUGGCAAUGAUACGUAGCCGACCUGAGAGGGUAAUCGGCCACAUUGGGACUGAGACACGGCCCAAACUCCUACGGGAGGCAGCAGUAGGGAAUCUUCCACAAUGGACGAAAGUCUGAUGGAGCAACGCCGCGUGAGUGAAGAAGGGUUUCGGCUCGUAAAACUCUGUUGUUAAAGAAGAACAUAUCUGAGAGUAACUGUUCAGGUAUUGACGGUAUUUAACCAGAAAGCCACGGCUAACUACGUGCCAGCAGCCGCGGUAAUACGUAGGUGGCAAGCGUUGUCCGGAUUUAUUGGGCGUAAAGCGAGCGCAGGCGGUUUUUUAAGUCUGAUGUGAAAGCCUUCGGCUCAACCGAAGAAGUGCAUCGGAAACUGGGAAACUUGAGUGCAGAAGAGGACAGUGGAACUCCAUGUGUAGCGGUGAAAUGCGUAGAUAUAUGGAAGAACACCAGUGGCGAAGGCGGCUGUCUGGUCUGUAACUGACGCUGAGGCUCGAAAGUAUGGGUAGCAAACAGGAUUAGAUACCCUGGUAGUCCAUACCGUAAACGAUGAAUGCUAAGUGUUGGAGGGUUUCCGCCCUUCAGUGCUGCAGCUAACGCAUUAAGCAUUCCGCCUGGGGAGUACGGCCGCAAGGCUGAAACUCAAAGGAAUUGACGGGGGCCCGCACAAGCGGUGGAGCAUGUGGUUUAAUUCGAAGCUACGCGAAGAACCUUACCAGGUCUUGACAUACUAUGCAAAUCUAAGAGAUUAGACGUUCCCUUCGGGGACAUGGAUACAGGUGGUGCAUGGUUGUCGUCAGCUCGUGUCGUGAGAUGUUGGGUUAAGUCCCGCAACGAGCGCAACCCUUAUUAUCAGUUGCCAGCAUUAAGUUGGGCACUCUGGUGAGACUGCCGGUGACAAACCGGAGGAAGGUGGGGAUGACGUCAAAUCAUCAUGCCCCUUAUGACCUGGGCUACACACGUGCUACAAUGGAUGGUACAACGAGUUGCGAACUCGCGAGAGUAAGCUAAUCUCUUAAAGCCAUUCUCAGUUCGGAUUGUAGGCUGCAACUCGCCUACAUGAAGUCGGAAUCGCUAGUAAUCGCGGAUCAGCAUGCCGCGGUGAAUACGUUCCCGGGCCUUGUACACACCGCCCGUCACACCAUGAGAGUUUGUAACACCCAAAGUCGGUGGGGUAACCUUUUAGGAACCAGCCGCCUAAGGUGGGACAGAUGAUUAGGGUGAAGUCGUAACAAGGUAGCCGUAGGAGAACCUGCGGCU
rnacentral:rRNA from 2 species